rnacentral:rRNA from 1 species
AGCGAACGCUGGCGGCAGGCCUAACACAUGCAAGUCGAACGGAUCCUUCGGGAUUUUUCUCGUACGGGUGAGUCACCCGUGGGAACGUUCCCUUUGGUUCGGACCACCUCAGGGACACUUGAACUAAUACCGAAUCUGCCCUUCUUGGGAAGGAUUUAUUGCCAUUGGUGCGUCCGGCGUCUGAUUAGCUUUUUGUUAAGGUAACGGCUGACCACGGCGAGGAUUAGUAGCUGGUUGGAGAGGAUGGUCAGCCACACUGGGACGGAGACACGGCCGAGAAUCCUACGGGAGGGAGCAGUGGGGAAUGGUGCGCAAUGGGGGAAAGGCUGACGCAGCCAUGACGGGUGAAUGAUGAAGGUAUGAGAAUUGUAAAAUUCUUGCAGCGGGGAAGAUAAUGACGGUACCCGCAGAGGAAGCCCCGGCUAACUACGUG